AAUUACAUCGUCAGAAGAAAACAUCACAAAGCAAUCUAUGGACGUUAUUGAGAGAGCAUGAUACACUACUCAAGUUGAAAAAGCUAGAUGUCAACAAAGUACAAUAUUUCUGGCAAUAAACGCAGGAAUUGACCAAGUGA